rnacentral:lncRNA from 1 species
AUAUAUAUAUAUAUAUAUAUAUUUUUUUUUUUUAACUAAAUAAUACAUGCACAUAAAUAGAUUAAAUGGGCUAAUUAAUUUAUGUUAAUCAAGGCCCAAUUGGUAGGGUGAAAAAGGCCAAGCCCGUUACACAUUAAAUAAAAAGAGUGAGAAAGAGAAAAGCUUUCCAAAAAUAACACCAAAGCCUGCUUGAAGUGAGAAUCGAUCUCACAACUUCAAGCAUUGAAAUGAACCUCCUUGGUCAUUGAGCUAUGCAUUUUAAUUGUGUUGCGGGGAUUCAUUAAUGUCUUUAUAUCCAUAUAAUUUAAAUUUGACUUUAUAUAUACAAUGUAAUUUUUCGGUUGAGGGGGUUCGGGUGAACUCCCUCACUGCCACGUAGAUCCGCCCGGGUGAACUUCCUCACUGCCACGUAGAUCCGCCCCUGCUAUAGACUACAGUUUUGAACUGGAGUGAACCUUCUGAGUUUGAAUUCAAGACAAUUACUCAUUAAGAUUUAGAUAACUAAUCAAUCUCUCACCCACUAACCACACAAACAAACACAAGAUACACUACACACAAAUGCACAUAUAUAAUCACGCACACAUUCAAGAGGUAUAGAAGAGAUUUUUCGGAGGACAAUUACAAAAACAACAACAAAACAUUCACUAGAGAAAAACAGUUUUCUUCACUGCACAGUUUAUUCAAUAAUAUUUCAAGAUUUUUGUAUUACACUUUUAAAAUAUUUUGUUUUUGAGUAAUAAUGACAAAUAAAAUCUGAUAACUUAAAUAUCUAUCUAUUUAUAUCUAAUAAAAGAGGCAAAAACUAUCAUAUAUCAACACUAUAAAAAAAUAGUAUUUAUCAUAAUUAAAAAUUUAAAUAUAAAAAUAAUAAUUUAAAAAGCAUUAACUCUCACAUGCAUAAUCCCUAUAAAAAUGACACAUUAAAAAUAAAAAAGCAAAAUCAACAAAUUUUGAAUUUAGUUGCAGUUAUUUUUUGAAUUAGUGUGCCCAAUUUAAAAUUUGCCAGUUUGAAUUAGUAUGCUCAAUUUUAAAUUUGUCAGUUUUAAAACUACCUACACUUGUCCUUUAUUUUUUAUCUUUAUCUUUUUAUCAUUGCCUUUUAUUCACAUUCCCUCUCUAUCAGGAGUAAAUUUUUUUAUUUUUUUUUAAGAUAAAUGCUCUCCCUAUUCAUACGUUUUCCAUCAAACUUUGCCAUUCCAAAUAAUACCAUUAUGUUACAUGUAUUUUACUACUAGAGGAGCUUGACCCGUGUUAGCAC